rnacentral:lncRNA from 1 species
AGGAAGCCUCCAGGAUGGCAUAAGCGACCAAACAGCUGGGAGCCAAGCACAGUGCAGGGGGCUUGGGGUCGGCGGCCGGAGGCUGGGUGGCCUCCAGAAGACACUCCCCUGAUUCCUACACCGAGGGAACACACAGCAGCAAGCUAGGAAAGAAGGGGUGACCCAGCCCAACGCUGUAAACCAGGGCGCGAACCGGCGUUGAGCUGUGCAGCUGCGCCCUGGGCUCCAGUCCUGCUCUGCCGCAGACCCCACCGGAGCCAGCACCUGCCUCCCCGACCCUCGCUGGGGCGGCUGUGAGAUGAGCCCAGAGCCUUCCUGAGCCAACCCUCGCAAGGAAAGUCUGUCUGUUCACCCCACUAUCCUUGUCUUGAAGGAUGAAGAAAAGAGGGCCCCCCGGGAGGUCCCAAAAGGUGGAAUGGACAUCUGGGAUCCAAGCACAGCAAUUUCUUUAUUUUUCUUAAGAUUCUUUUUAGAAAUGUCAUUAUUCAAGAAAAAUGCACAAUGGGAAGAAUCUUAACAACAGCACUUUGUUACUUCAGCCUCUCACUAGAGGAUGAAAAUCGUUCUGCAUAAAGGCCUGGGCUUUAUGAAAAAUAUAUUCACACCUCCCGUGUCCGAGCUGGGAUACCAAAGAAGUUCCUGGUUGAGUACUACUUAUGAAUGAAGGAUUCAGGGGAUGCACAGGACACAGAGGAAUCUGGGGGAUAUUAUGGUUCUGGGAAUGUGGAAUGUAACGUCUCAUCUUCAGCCCAUCUGUGCUACUGAUCAUCUCAUUCCAGAAGCCAUGCCUUCUCUCAGGAGCAGACAGCACAAGACUUUCCUGCCAGAGGCACAGUCCCCAGUGGGAGUAGCAUCCACAUAAGACAGGAUGCAGAGAUGUCUUCAAGCAGCUUCAAACAAAACUUCAAGAAAGAAAGUGCAAGUGAAAAAGGAAAUUCAUCCUUCCAGUCACUUAACACAGCACUGUCACGGACACCUUGUGCCUCCUUAAAAUUCGUAUACUGAAGUUCUAAGCCCCAGUACCCCAGAAUGUGACCUUCUUUGGAAAUAGGGUCAUUGCAGAUAUGAUUAGUUAAGAGGAGAUCAUACUGGAGUGGGCUUUAAUCCAAUAUGACUGGUGUCCUUAUGUAAAGGGGAAAUUUGGACACAGACACACACAAGGAGAACACCAUGUGAACUGAAGUCAAAGAUUUGGGUGAUGCUUCUACAAGCCAAGAAAUGCCAAAGAUGACCAGCAAAGCACCGGCAGCUGGUGGAGGAGCCUGGACCAGAUUCUUCCUCACAGCCCUCAAAAGGAACCAAUCUUGCCAAAGCUUUGACUUAGACUUCUAGCCCCCUGUGAUGGUUAAUGUUAAGUGGCAGCUUGACUGGGUUAAGGGAUGCCCAGAUAGCUGGUAAGACAGUAUGUCUGUGUGCAUCUCUCAGAGUGUUUCUGGACAAGAUCAGCAUUUGAAUCCUUAGAGUAAAGAAGAUCUGCCCUCACCCACGUGCAUCACCCUAUCUCUGGAGAGCGCGAACAAACAGGAGGAAGGGCACAUAUGCUCCUUCUGUUCCAGCUGGCACAUCCAUCUUCUCCUGCCCCCUGACUUCAGAGCUCCUGGUUCUCGGGCCUCAGGAUUCCAGCACUUACAUGAGAGCGUGCUUCCCCCUCCCUACUCCACCCCUAGGUUCUCCGCCCUUUGGCCUCUGACUGAAUUCCACCACCAGCUUUUCAGGGUCUCCAGCUUGCAGACGGCAGAUCGUGGGACUUCUUGGCCUCCAUAAUUAUGUAAGCCAAUUCCCAUAAUAAAUCUCCUAUCUAUCUAUCUAUCUAUCCAUCUAUCAAUCAUCUAUCUAGUCUAUCUAUCUAUCUAUCUCUAUCCUAUUGAUUCUGUGUCUCUGAGGAACCCUAAUACACCUCCAGAACUGUGAGAUGAUACAUUUCUGUGGUUUAAGCCACUCAGAAGGUGGUACUUUGUUUCACCAGGCCUAGCAAACUAAUACAAGUGCAUGGAAGGUGACUACUCAUGACUGCAACUUAGAGAACAAGGGUUAUAAUAAAAAUAAAAGUGUUAUACAAAGGUGGCAAGAUAAAUGACAAUAAAUGAAAAUAUUAACAUGUGAAUUAAAAAGUAAAGAUAUUUUUCCUAGCAUUCUCCCAGAAAGUAGAGACGCGUCUCUCUUGUUUGC